CCUCAUAAAAUUCCUCUUUACCUUGCUAAAACUAUUAAUUACACAACAUUAAUAAACAAUUCAAAAAAGACCAAAGUCAUAUUUUAGAAGGCCAGAUCAACAAAGCAUCUUGAAAAUAACACUACUACAAGCAGAUAAGUUUCAUUAUUGUCAAAUAGGAAAACAACAGAACUGGAAGAUGAAAUACCUGUCCAAGUGGCAUGAGGCUCUAUCUGGAAUGCGUAACCAAACACCACUGUGAAAGUAAUAGUGCCACAAAAUACCGCUAUGGGACAGACAAGGCACAGUGAGCUUCUGGGGUGGAGACAACAAGGAAAAGGAAAUAAAUCUCUCCAAAACACAUUACCAUGCUAAUCAGUCAGUGCUCCUCUGGAAGGCAGCCAUGAUCAACAGCCUUAGAGAAAAAUCCCAAAACACAGCCAGAGGAGGGAAGGAGACUGUGCAAAAGGACCAGGAAAACAAGUUACAGCCAAUAUGGAGCUUCUUAGCUGGACACCAUUUGGAAGAAAGGCAGAAAAGCAGCAACAACCCUAUGGCAGUUCCAGUUUGCUCAAUAGAUUUCAGUAGUUAAUUUCCAUUGGC